rnacentral:rRNA from 1 species
AUUGAACGCUGGCGGCAGGCUUAACACAUGCAAGUCGAGCGAGCGGCGGACGGGUGAGUCAUGUCUGGGAAACUGCCUGAUGGCGGGGGAUAACUACUGGAAACGGUAGCUAAUACCGCAUACCAUCAGAUGUGCCCAGAUGGGAUUAGCUAGUCGGUGGGGUAAUGGCUCACCUAGGCGACGAUCCCUAGCUGGUCUGGGAGGAUGAUCAGCCACAAUGGGACUGAGACACGGCCCAGAACCCUACGGGAGGCAGCAGGGGGGAAUAUUGCACAAUGGGCGCAAGCCUGAUGCAGCCAUGCCGCGUGUAUGAAGAAGGCCUUAGGGUUGUAAAGUACUUUCAGCGGGGAGGCGUUACCGACAGAAGAAGCACCGGCUAACUCCGUGCCAGCAGCCGCGGUAAUUC